rnacentral:rRNA from 1 species
AUUGAACGCUGGCGGCAUGCCUUACACAUGCAAGUCGAACGGCAGCACGGGAGCAAUCCUGGUGGCGAGUGGCGAACGGGUGAGUAAUAUAUCGGAACGUGCCCAGUAGUGGGGGAUAACUGCUCGAAAGAGCAGCUAAUACCGCAUACGACCUGAGGGUGAAAGGGGGGGAUCGCAAGACCUCUCGCUAUUGGAGCGGCCGAUAUCAGAUUAGCUAGUUGGUGGGGUAAAGGCCUACCAAGGCAACGAUCUGUAGUUGGUCUGGGAGGACGACCAGCCACACUGGGACUGAGACACGGCCCAGACUCCUACGGGAGGCAGCAGUGGGGAAUUUUGGACAAUGGGCGCAAGCCUGAUCCAGCAAUGCCGCGUGCAGGAAGAAGGCCUUCGGGUUGUAAACUGCUUUUGUCAGGGAAGAAAUCCUCUAGGUUAAUACCCUUGGGGGGAUGACGGUACCUGAAGAAUAAGCACCGGCUAACUACGUGCCAGCCGCCGCAGUAACAC